rnacentral:rRNA from 1 species
UACGUAGGGUGCGAGCGUUGUCCGGAUUUAUUGGGCGUAAAGAGCUCGUAGGCGGUUUGUCGCGUCGGCCGUGAAAUCUCCACGCUUAACGUGGAGCGUGCGGUCGAUACGGGCAGACUUGAGUUCGGUAGGGGAGACUGGAAUUCCUGGUGUAGCGGUGAAAUGCGCAGAUAUCAGGAGGAACACCGGUGGCGAAGGCGGCGCGCUGGACCACUACUGACGCUGAGGAACGAAAGCUAGGGGAGCAAACAGG